UACAGAGGUCUCAAGCGUUGUUCGGAUUCAUUGGGCGUAAAGGGUGCGUAGGUGGUGAGGUAAGUCGGAUGUGAAAUCUCCGGGCUCAACCCGGAAAUGGCAUUGGAAACUACCUUGCUGGAGGAUUUGAGGGGGGAUUGGAAUACUUGGUGUAGCAGUGAAAUGCGUAGAUAUCAAGUGGAACACCAGUGGCGAAGGCGAAUCCCUGGAAAAUACCUGACACUGAGGCACGAAAGCUAGGGGAGCAAACAGG
rnacentral:rRNA from 1 species